AACAGACUGGCGGCGCGCGGAAAACGCGUCACGUGACGACUGGCCCCGCCUCUUCCUCUCGGUCCCAUAUUGAACUCGAGUUGGAAGAGGCGAGUCCGGUCUCAAAAUGGAGGUAAAACCGCCGCCCGGUCGCCCCCAGCCCGACUCCGGCCGUCGCCGUCGCCGCCGGGGGGAGGAGGAGGCUAUGGUGGUGGAGGUGGUGGCAGCAGAGGUAGUUAUGGAGGAGGUGAUGGUGGAUAUAAUGGAUUUGGAGGUGAUGGUGGUUAUGGAUCUGGUGGUGGAAGUGGUGGAUAUGGUAGCAGAAGGUUCUAAAAACAGCAGAAAAGGGUAGGUAUCUUU
rnacentral:lncRNA from 1 species